rnacentral:rRNA from 1 species
UACAGAGGUCUCAAGCGUUGUUCGGAAUCAUUGGGCGUAAAGCGCGCGUAGGUGGCCUCAUAAGUCCGCUGUGAAAGUCAAAGGCUCAACCUUUGAAAGCCGGUGGAUACUGUGAGGCUAGAGUACGGAAGAGGCGAGUGGAAUUCCUGGUGUAGCGGUGGAAUGCGCAGAUAUCAGGAGGAACACCAAUAGCGAAGGCAGCUCGCUGGGACGUUACUGACACUGAGGCGCGAAAGCGUGGGGAGCGAACAGG